UGUAGUGGAAGCAAAAAAUUUUGAACUUCAUAGAUGAUGAUUACCUUGAGAGUGAAGUAAACAUAUGUAUGGGUAUUUUGAGAGAAGAAUUCACUAGAAAGACAACACCUAUGUUUCUAUCUACAUAAAAAAAAUUAACACUAUUUCCAAUUUAAAACUUUAAAAUAAUAAAUUCAUGAGUUUUUUUAUUUUAUAUAAUAUUU
rnacentral:lncRNA from 1 species